rnacentral:tRNA from 1 species
UCCCUGGUAGCUCAGAUGGUAAAGAGUCUGCCUACAAUGCAGGAGACCCGGGUUCGAUCCCUGGGUCGGGAA